GGCUGUUACACCUACACCACCCCUUCCUUACCCUGGGACCCCUUGUGAGCAGCAAAGGGUAAAAGAUGAAGGUGUUGCAGUACAGCUUGGCUGUCCAUCCUGAUAUGCAGAGUCCUUCCCUACCUUCUGCAAGAGGAGCCAGUAACACCUCAGGGUGCAGGAGUUUGAUGUUUUUAAUCUUUUUCAUAGGAGAUGCUGAUAACAGCAUCAUGUCCCCAUCCUCCUUACUUGGACUGGCCCCAUCCUCCUGCCUUUAGUGCCCUCACAGCCCAUCUGAUCUAACUGGUGAGGAAAUCCCAUCCUCAAGCAAUGCUGCUAUGAAGUACCUUAAACUCCUGGAGUGACACCUGCCCCUUUUGGAAAUUCCUCAUGAACGGUGUAUUCUCCGCCCGCUCGUGCACCUCCUUGGUAGCUUCUUUCAACAGUUCUGACAGGUCUGUGGACAUUCUGGGGAAGAACAGUGAAACAGGUAUUAGUGCUGUCUGCUCUGACAAAAUAGAUCUUAGCUCUCCAAGACAAAAGGGGGAGCCUGGGAUGGCAGGAAAAGGAGCAGAGCAUUCCGGAGAGCUGUGGAUGGGAGUCAGAGAGCACCAGCUUUCCAAACACUGUCCCGAGCAAGCAAGACUGACAGACUCCAUCCAGAAGUGAAAGCAGCAGCAUGCCUUUCCCUGCAGAGCAGGAACAGGAACAGCAUGCCUAAAAGCAAGGGGAGAAACACAACACUCCCCUAGCAAAGCGCUUCCCUCUCACUCCCGUCCCGCUCUCACCUUUCGGAGCUGUGCGCCUGGGAAGUUUCCAUGUUUCUCCACGUCGUUUCACUCCUCUGCUUCCCUGCUGUUGCUCGUGCUUUCCUCCUUCCUUUCUGCUCCCAGGACAGUGAAGCUCUGAGCUGGGCAGCCUGGCUCCCACAUCCAGCUUUAUACGGCCAGGCCACGUGAGCAGUGAACCGCUGACCUCAGUGUGAGUACAAACUUCUUGCAACACAGCAGCACUUCCCUUCCGAGCCUGGCUGUCACCCUCUCCUGGCCUGCAGCCCCAAGGAACCAGAAGGAAGUCACCUGAUGCAUCUUGAUAACUAAGCACAAACAAGAGGAUGUCCAGAAACUUCUCUUUUAAGGGUGCCUGGCUCUGUAACCCUUUCAGUGCCUUGCCCGUGGCAGGCAGAGCCCGGGUACUGCAAGAGGUGCUCGUUGUCCUGGAGACAGUGGGGUUGGACAAGGAGGGUGGAUUUACAGGGGAUUUAGUGGAUUUAGUGCCUGGGGCAGGGAGAGCAGCCUUCUCUCCCUACACCCCAGUCUGUGUCCCCUGCACCCUCCCUGGAAAGCUAAUCCAGCACUCACCCUCACCUGCUCUACCACAGCUCAGGUAAAAGCAUCUUAUCUCCCAUGGCCGUGCAUAGGCAUGCACCACCUCUGGCCUGCAGGUGCCAGAACUGCCCUUGAGCAGUUCCCCCUUGCCCUUGGCACUGGGCAGCAAACCCUGACGCUGUGCACAGAGCCAACACAGGUGUGCCAGUGCUGACGUGCAGAGAAAUCCAUUCCAUGCUCUCUUGCUCAUGGAAACAAUGGCAUCUGAUUAGUUUGACAGCUGGCUCCUGUUGUCAUCACAGCAGCGUGCAGGGCAAUUUAGGAAAAUAGCACUCCAUCUCCUAGAUACCCAGAAGGCUGGGAGAGCUGAAAAGAUAUCAUACGGGACUUGGGGGAAACUGAGGGAGUCUGCAGAGACUUUCAAAGGCACAUAAUUUCUCUGAUGUGGGGAAAGAGUUGGACAUGGUGCUUCUGCCAGUAGCUGUUGCUCUGCUGGGUUUUUUUUGAUAAAGUGGUCAGUGAAGCAGCCAACAAAUGAAGAUGGGCCCUUCUUUCCCACCUGUAGCUGGGCUGGAAGCUGGGCUAGCAGGGAUAGAUGAUUCAUUGGCUAGCUGUGCUUUGGGAAAUCCCACAUUUGUGCUCAGCCCAAAAGAGCAGGGCACUUAGAGCCACCAUUCCCCUGCUGCUGCAGGUGUGAGCAAGUCCCUGACAGAGUCGUGCAGGGGGUGGUGGGGAGGCAGAGCCUGGGGUGGAAGGAGAAGGACUGUGGCGUCUGCUGUCCCUCUGCAGCCAGUCCCCUCUGUGGAUGCUGCCAUCCAAACCAGCACCUCACCUGUCUCCCUGUCACUGCACCCACACCAGCCCCAGCAGGGUUGGAGGCUGUAGGUUAAAAAGCUGUUCUGGAAAAAAUAUGCUUCCUCGCUUCUUUUUUGACUCCAGCAGACAUCUGGCUUGCAGUGUUCAGGAAGGAUUACUCAGCAUUUCCAUCCUGACUCAGCCAGACUUUUCCUGUCUUGCUUUUGUCUUUUAAAGCAACAGUGCAUGCUGGGAAAAAGCUGACACGUUCCAUUCUUACCCCCAUGCCACUGCAGACAACUUGCUUACUUUUCUGUAAGGUAAAAUAAAUGUAUCAGGAUGUCUGAA